UCUAGAUUUAAUUUUGACUAGCCAUCCAAGUUUUAAGCAGAGAUGUAAACCAAUUCCAGCUAUUGGUAACAGCGACCACGACAUUGUCCUUCUUGAUACCUCAAUUAAAGCACAAAAACCUAAACCGGUUAAACGUAAAAUACAACUAUGGAAAAGAACUAACAUAGAUGAAAUACAAAAUGAGGUGAGGUUAUUUGCUGAAACCUUUAACCAGACGACCUUCACUAAUAUUGAAAACAUGUGGAAAUAUUUCAAAGAAAACAUCAUGAAAAUUAUUGAUCAGAAAGUACCAACAAAGAUGACAACUACAAAAUUUACCCAUCCUUGGAUCAAUACCACCAUCAAGCGCCUAAUAAGAAGGAAAAACAAGGCCCACAAGAAAUCAAGGAAAACAAAGAAAAAGAGAGACAGAGAUAGAUAUAAAUACCUCCAACAACAAACACAAAUGGAAAUAAGAAAAGCAUACAAAGAAUAUAUGAAUGACAUCAUUAGUCUCAGUUACACUGAGAAACCGAAAAGAUUUUGGUCAUUCUUGAAGAGCAAAGGACAGGAC
rnacentral:lncRNA from 1 species